UGAAAAUGAUGGAGUAGUUAAUAGCCUACUAACCAAAAAAAGCCCAGGACCAGACGGAGUCACAGUCGAACUCUACCAGAGGUAAAAAGAGGAGCUGGUACCAUUCCUUCUGAAACUACUCCAAACAAUUGAAAAAGAGGGAUUCUUCCCUAAUGUACUUUAUGAGGCCAGCAUCAUCCUGAUACCAAAACCUGGUAGAGACACAUCAACAACAACA